AGAUUCAAUACUGCUGAGAGGCAGUGUGCACUUCUCGCUUAGUAAGACGUUGUGAUCCAUUAGAAAUUGGCCAUUCCAAUGGCUAUGAGGUUAUCAAUAGGCUGGUGUAAAGUUCAUUAAUGCAAAUGGCUGGAUCUUAAAUGGUCUGGUGUAUUGUUUGGUGAGUUCAUCAUGUUCUGCUUAUAACUGUCUGAUGGAUUUUAAAGAUCAUAACAUUGAUGUUCGCAUCACCCAGGUUAUGUAUCCGAUCAACAACGGUUAAAUUUGGGAUACCUUUUGGACCCGUCUUGAAACACGGACCAAGGAGUCUAUCUAUUGCGCGAGUAAAUGGGUAUAUGAAACCUAUUUGCGUAAAAAACUUGACUGUUAUGGGAUUACCAGUGUAUAACUCCUCCC
rnacentral:rRNA from 1 species